CCUAGAGAGAGCAUGGGUAAGGAUACCUAGAGAUUAUGUAUAGGCACGACUUCUCUUCAUUACAUUAGACAUAAUACAUGUCUUUCAUAAUGAUAUAUGAUUAUGUGUGACUCUGUGGGUUUCACAAGGCACGAGAACCGGGCAGGCUGAAGAUCUCAUACACUUUAUAUGGAAAGGAGAGAUGCAAUUCAGCAUUUUCCUGAGACUAUGAAAGGUCAGGAAAGGAAGAAGUUAAGAAGUCGUACUAAUGAGGGAAUGAAGCAGAGCUGGGAGAAGUUACACCAUGUGAACUGGAACUGCACCCGCAAUAUUUCCAAGGUAUCCUUCUACCUCCUAUCCAACAUUAGAAUCCCCAGUCCCACACUCCCAGGGGGUCUCUCAGUUACA
rnacentral:lncRNA from 1 species